GUGCUUGCUUUGGGAGCACACACCCUGGAACUGGAUGAUAUUGAGGAGAUUAGCACAGUCCCUGUGUAGGGAUGACAUGCAAAUUUGAGAAGUGUUCUGUUCUAUU
ensembl:snRNA U6 U6 spliceosomal RNA